UACGUAGGGGGCGAGCGUUGUCCGGAUUUAUUGGGCGUAAAGAGCUCGUAGGCGGCUUGGCAAGUCGGGUGUGAAACCUCCAGGCUCAACCUGGAGACGCCACUCGAUACUGCCAUGGCUAGAGUCCGGUAGGGGACCACGGAAUUCCUGGUGUAGCGGUGAAAUGCGCAGAUAUCAGGAGGAACACCGGUGGCGAAGGCAGUGGUCUGGGCCGGCACUGACGCUGAGGAGCGAAAGCGUGGGGAGCGAACAGG
rnacentral:rRNA from 1 species